rnacentral:rRNA from 1 species
AAGCGUGCGCAGGCGGUUUUGUAAGACUGUCGUGAAAUCCCCGGGCUCAACCUGGGAAUGGCGAUGGUGACUGCAAGGCUAGAGUUUGGCAGAGGGGGGUAGAAUUCCACGUGUAGCAGUGAAAUGCGUAGAUAUGUGGAGGAACACCGAUGGCGAAGGCAGCCCCCUGGGUCAAAACUGACGCUCAUGCACGAAAGCGUGGGGAGCAAACAGGAUUAGAUACCCCGUGU